rnacentral:lncRNA from 1 species
ACUUCUCCAACAUCCGACUUCAAUAAGAUCAAACUGUGGACCCAGAUUAGGUUUGAAUCAUUGACUUAUUGGAUAAUCAAAAUAAGAAGUAGUAGGUAUACUUAGAACCUUUAUUCAAUUCUUUUUAGAUAUUUUAGAUUUGACUAAUGAGAUGCAAAUAUUUAGUAUUCAAUAUAUUCCAAGAAAUGCAAAUCAACCUCAUUUAGUUAGAUUUCAGUAUAUCAAAAAAAAAAACAAAUGGUGAUAGUGACUCUUUUGAUCCAAGGGCCUGAACUAGGUAAAGGACAUGUUAGGAUUACCUGCUUCAUGUUUGCAAUCUUGUAAGCUAUAACUCUUCUAAUGAGAAACUGAUAGUUCUCUUGUUGAAAAAAAAAAAAAAAAAAAAAACUUUCAGCCUACAUUUUCUAUUAUUGUUGGAAGGAUAUAUUUAAUUCCCGUUAUAUCCAAAAUAUACAUUUGACGUCGACUAUCACUUGGAAAAAAA